rnacentral:rRNA from 1 species
GAAGCGGCAACAGCUCAAAUUUGAAAUCUGGCGCAAGCCCGAGUUGUAAUUUGUAGAGGAUGCUUCAGGGCAGCGGCCGGUCUAAGUUCCUUGGAACAGGACGUCGUAGAGGGUGAGAAUCCCGUAUGCGACCGGUUGGCACCCGUCACGUAGCUCCUUCGACGAGUCGAGUUGUUUGGGAAUGCAGCUCUAAAUGGGAGGUAAAUUUCUUCUAAAGCUAAAUACCGGCCAGAGACCGAUAGCGCACAAGUAGAGUGAUCGAAAGAUGAAAAGCACUUUGGAAAGAGAGUUAAAAAGCACGUGAAAUUGUUGAAAGGGAAGCGCAUGCAACCAGACUUGUCGGCGGUGUUCCGCCGGUCUUCUGACCGGUCUAUUCGCCGCCGGCAGGCCAGCAUCAUCUGGGCGCGCCGGAUAAAGGCGUGGGGAAUGUAGCUCCUCGGAGUGUUAUAGCCCCGCGCACAAUACGGCGCCGCCCGGGUGAGGUCCGCGCUUCGGCUAGGAUGCUGGCGUAAUGGUUGUCUGCGGCCCGUCUUGAAACACGGACCAAGGAGUCUAACAUCUAUGCGAGUGUUCGGGUGUCAAACCCCUACGCGUAAUGAAAGUGAACGGAGGUGGGAAGCGCAAGCUGCACCAUCGACCGAUCCUGAUGUCUUCGGAUGGAUUUGAGUAAGAGCAUAGCUGUUGGGACCCGAAAGAUGGUGAACUAUGCCUGAAUAGGGUGAAGCCAGAGGAAACUCUGGUGGA